UACGUAGGGUCCGAGCGUUGUCCGGAGUUACUGGGCGUAAAGCGCGCGCAGGCGGCGGUGUUGGCCCGGCGUGAAAGCCCCCGGCUCAACCGGGGAGAGUCGUCGGGGACCGCACCGCUUGAGGGCGGUAGGGGCUGGUGGAAUGCCUGGUGUAGUGGUGAAAUGCGUAGAGAUCAGGCAGAACCCCUGGGGCGAAGGCGGCCAGCUGGGCCGUCCCUGACGCUGAGGCGCGAAGGCGUGGGGAGCGAACGGG
rnacentral:rRNA from 1 species